rnacentral:rRNA from 1 species
GUGGGGAAUUUUGGACAAUGGGCGCAAGCCUGAUCCAGCAAUGCCGCGUGCAGGAAGAAGACCUUCGGGUUGUAAACUGCUUUUGUACGGAACGAAACGGUCCGGGUUAAUACCCUGGGCUAAUGACGGUACCGUAAGAAUAAGCACCGGCUAACUACGUGCCAGCAGCCGCGGUAAUACGUAGGGUGCAAGCGUUAAUCGGAAUUACUGGGCGUAAAGCGUGCGCAGGCGGUUUUGUAAGACAGGCGUGAAAUCCCCGGGCUCAACCUGGGAAUUGCGCUUGUGACUGCAAGGCUGGAGUGCGGCAGAGGGGGAUGGAAUUCCGCGUGUAGCAGUGAAAUGCGUAGAUAUGCGGAGGAACACCGAUGGCGAAGGCAAUCCCCUGGGCCUGCACUGACGCUCAUGCACGAAAGCGUGGGGAGCAAACAGGAUUAGAUACCCGUGUAGUCC